GUAAGUGGACUUUUCCAUUUUUCUGCUAAGCCCAACACUCCACCACAGCCAGGCACACACUACACACACCCGCCCAUCUCAG
rnacentral:ncRNA from 1 species